AGAAAGACAGACAUCUUAGAAAAAGAAGAGGAAAGAAAAGGAAAAGAUGGGCAUCCUUAAUUUCAUGAUCAUAGUCGUAUCCCAAUUGAUUUUUGUUUUCUUCGAAUUUAUUUACUU
rnacentral:ribozyme from 1 species